rnacentral:rRNA from 1 species
GACGAACGCUGGCGGCGUGCUUAACACAUGCAAGUCGAACGGGAUGAUUUAGAAGCUUGCUUUUAGAGAAUCUAGUGGCAAACGGGUGGGUAACACGUAGACAACCUGCCGACAGGAUGGGGACAACAUUCCGAAAGGAAUGCUAAUACCGAAUGAAGUCAGAGGAGGGCAUCCUCCUCUGAUGAAAGAUGGCCUCUGAAUAUGCUAUCACCUGUUGAUGGGUCUGCGUCUGAUUAGCUAGUUGGUGAGGUAACGGCUCACCAAGGCGACGAUCAGUAGCCGGUCUGAGAGGAUGAACGGCCACAUUGGGACUGAGACACGGCCCAGACUCCUACGGGAGGCAGCAGUGGGGAAUCUUCCGCAAUGGGCGCAAGCCUGACGGAGCAACGCCGCGUGAGUGAAGAAGGUCUUCGGAUCGUAAAGCUCUGUUGACGGGGACGAACGUGCGGGGUGCGAAUAGCGCUUUGUAAUGACGGUACCUGUCGAGGAAGCCACGGCUAACUACGUG